ensembl:lncRNA
AUUUAAUUAACCCUUGUUUCACUGUGCUAAAUUAUCAUGUGCGAAAUGGUUGUAUUAUUAAACGUUGUUAUAAUUUUAGACAGUUUUGAACUACGUGUUUGAAACCAACAAAACCACAAGUAAAAAAAAAAAAAUACUAAGUACCACAAUUACCAUGCAAUUAGACUUUUGACUUGAAAUCUGAGAUACAGCCCUGAGUGAGAGAAAAUGAUUACCCAACUUCUGGCCUGUAGUUGAAUGACUGCAAUCUACAAGAUGGUUCCAUUGAUUGAAGUUUAAUAUCUUUAAAAAAUUUCUGAUAAAUCAAACACAUUUUAGUCCAACUAGUCAUCCAGCAGUGACAUUGUUUUAAUAACUUUCCAACAAGGAAGGUAUUUUGAUGCGAGACUAUUUUCAGGUUAUUGUUUCCACGUGAACCAUGAGGGAAGGUGAGUGUAGAGCGUCCAGGGCUCGAGUAUCGUGAAACUGGUCGGGCAGGUAGAUAUGACACUGGCAUUCCUCCACUGAGACUAAAAGAGGGAGGAUAAGAGGGCAGUCCUAACUAUGUCUUGAAAAGCAGGUCAGAAAUAGAAAAGAGGGUCUCAUUUUUCCUUUGGGACUGUAGAGACAGGUUGAAAUCCCACCCAUCCUAAUAUAUAGACACUUUGGAACUAACCAUAGUUCUCACUCCUGUGUCUAAUGGCAGACAAUGACACGAAUGACCCUCCUCCACCAUACUACUCCAUGUUCACACAGAAACCUGUGCCGUACUAUGUUCCAAAGGAUCCAGCACAAGUAGCAGCCGUCAUCGUCACACAGCAUGUUGUUGGUAUGUACUGAAUCACUUCAGUCACUCAAGUUUGGUGCUACUGAAAAAAAAAAAGAAAAGAAAAAAAAAAAAAAAACGCUUUCUACAUAAUCUGCUCUUGCUAAUUGAAGCUAAUAUAUGCAAAGUGUUUUUACAAACUGAUCGUAAUCAAAACAGAGAGGACAAAUGACAAAUUAACCUUCACCAAUCAUAGAGCAGAAUCUGCCAUUGUGUCCGACAAACAAACCAGACAGGAGAGUAAAUUAAAGGGAUAGCUCACAAAAAAAAUUACAAUUACCCCAUGAUUUAGGCCAACUUAGGUGAAUAAGACUUUCUUCUUGAAACUUGAAAAAUGUGUGUGUGUGUGUGUGUGUGUGUGUGUGUGUGUGUGUGUGUGUGUGUGUGUGUGUGUACUUACAUAUUUCCGUGGGUGAAACUGAAACAAGAUACCUUCUGAUGUUCAUACAUGUUUACUUCAUGCCAUAACUAGUUAAGAGGAAGAGAUGAUCGGUUAGUUAAUUUCACAGCUCUAAAUUUGAUUUGUAUGAUGGAUCCUCACACAACCUAUAUAUUAUUUAGCUAAAUUAAUCAUUUGUUUAAUUUACUAAUUUGUGGCCACACUGUACUAAUUUGUUUCCUCUUUUUAAUUUAGAUAAAUCAUGGUGAUGAUUUAACUAAAAUGAGAAAAAUCUGUAAUUAAUUUCUGCUUAAUUGUGUGAGCAAAUUCUUAAUUAAUG